GAUGAACGCUGGCGGCGUGCCUAAUACAUGCGAGUCGAGCGAACAGACGAGGAGCUUGCUCCUCUGACGUUAGCGGCGGACGGGUGAGUAACACGUGGAUAACCUACCUAUAAGACUGGGAUAACUUCGGGAAACCGGAGCUAAUACCGGAUAAUAUAUUGAACCGCAUGGUUCAAUAGUGAAAGACGGUUUUGCUGUCACUUAUAGAUGGAUCCGCGCCGCAUUAGCUAGUUGGUAAGGUAACGGCUUACCAAGGCAACGAUGCGUAGCCGACCUGAGAGGGUGAUCGGCCACACUGGAACUUGGACACGGUCCAGACUCCUACGGGAGGCAGCAGUCGGGAAUCUUCCGCAAUGGGCGAAAGCUUGACGGAGCAACGCCGCGUGAGUGAUGAAGGUCUUCGGAUCGUAAAACUCUGUUAUUAGGGAAGAACAAAUGUGUAAGUAACUAUGCACGUCUUGACGGUACCUAAUCAGAAAGCCACGGCUAACUACGUG
rnacentral:rRNA from 1 species